rnacentral:misc_RNA from 1 species
AGUAUUCAAACUGUAGAGAAGAUUGAUGCAUAAACCAGGCUAGAUCUGUUUUUCUUUUGGAGAUAAAUGAAGGUUCUGCAAAUUUCACCAGCAGCAGGGGGGACAAAGGAGGUUUCCUGAAGUGUUGCACUCCUAAUUGGCCUAGCGUUUCCUCGAAGUUGUGUUGAUAUAUGGAACAAGAUGUGACCUAUAGAGUAUAGCUAUGGCUCCCUUGUGAUCUUUCAGAUCUGUGGUGUAACAUCUUAGAAACGAAGCGUGGAUGGGUAAGCAUUGAAUAUAUAUGUGCAGUGACUGUUUACAUUUGCUACUUACGGGCUUGACCUGUAAGAUCGAUCAUUCAAUUCUCAUUCAUUAGUAAAGACACGCUCUCUGCAAUGGGGUCUACCUAAUAAGAAUUAUUACACCGUGGCUCUCUCUGUUCAUUUUCCGGGGUUAUGUACAGCUUGCCAUCUAUUUCAUACAGAAGGAACAUUAUCUCUCCCUACUGAAAAUUUCACAAAGUGAUGCUUGUGUUUUUCAGCAAAUUCCCACUGGCUUACUGCAUCUAUGUGUGUGUGCAUUUUUUUUUUUUUCAUUUUAUUAAUUUAUUGGAUUUACAAAUACUUGUACAAGAAAAAUUUUACCAUAGG